rnacentral:rRNA from 1 species
UAGGGAAUCUUCCACAAUGGACGCAAGUCUGAUGGAGCAACGCCGCGUGAGUGAAGAAGGUUUUCGGACCGUAAAGCUCUGUUGUUGGUGAAGAAGGAUAGAGGUAGUAACUGGCCCUUUUAUUUGACGGUAAUCAACCAGAAAGUCACGGCUAACUACGUGCCAGCAGCCGCGGUAAUACGUAGGUGGCAAGCGUUGUCCGGAUUUAUUGGGCGUAAAGCGAGCGCAGGCGGAAGAAUAAGUCUGAUGUGAAAGCCCUCGGCUUAACCGAGGAAUUGCAUCGGA